rnacentral:rRNA from 1 species
AAACUUACCAGGUCCGGACACAGGAAGGAUUGACAGAUUGAUAGCUCUUUCUUAAUUUCUGUGGGUGGUGGUGCAUGGCCGUUCUUAGUUCGUGGAACUGAUCUGUCAGCUUAAUUGCGUUAACGAACGAGACCUUUAAUUAUUAAUUAGUUAAAUAUAUAGUAAUAUAUACUUUAAAAAGAAAGAUAGAUUUUUAUUUUUCUUUUCUCUGACUUCUUAAAAUAACAAUUGGUGGUAACCAAAGUAAGUUAAAAGGCAAUAACAGGUCUGUGAUGCCCUUUAGAUGUUCUGGGCUGCACGCGCGUUACACUGAAAAUAUCAAUAAGUUUUUAUAUAUCAAACAAUUAUAUUUUAUAUAUUUGUUUUGAUAUGUCCUUGAUUGAAAAAUUUUGGGUAAACUUGAUAACUAUUUUCGUGAUGGGGAUUGAUAAUUGUAAUUAUUUAUCGAUGAACGAGGAAUACCUAGUAAACGCAAGUCAUUAACUUGCAUUGAUUACGUCCCUGCCCUUUGUACACACCGCCCGUCGCUCCUACCGAUGAAAAGUCCAUGAAAUAUU